GCUGUCUUAACUCAGCCGUUUGAGCGCGUGGCUUUUAACCACGUGGUCGUGGGUUCGAUUCCACAGACGGCG
rnacentral:tRNA from 1 species